rnacentral:rRNA from 1 species
AAAGAAAUCGUUAAGGGCGUAUGGCGGAUGCCUAGGCUUUCAGAGGCGACGAAGGACGUGGUAAGCUGCGAAAAGCUACGGGGAUUGGCACACACGAAUAGAUCCGUAGAUAUCCGAAUGGGGCAACCCAAUACAUUGAAGAUGUAUUACUGCGUAAGCAGAGCAAACCCGGAGAACUGAAACAUCUAAGUACCCGGAGGAAAAGAAAUCGAAGAG